rnacentral:rRNA from 1 species
UUAGAGUUUGAUCAUGGCUCAGGACGAACGCUGGCGGCGUGCCUAAUACAUGCAAGUCGAACGAGGCUUUUUGAUUGAUGCUUGCAUCAGCUAAAAAGCCGAGUGGCGAAUGGGUGAGUAACACGUGGGUAACCUGCCUUGAAGCGGGGGAUAACAUUUGGAAACAGAUGCUAAUACCGCAUAACCACAAAAACCUCCUGGUUUUUGUGUCAAAGAUGGUUCUGCUAUCACUUCAAGAUGGACCCGCGGCGUAUUAGCUUGUUGGUGAGGUAACGGCUCACCAAGGCAAUGAUACGUAGCCGAACUGAGAGGUUGAUCGGCCACAUUGGGACUGAGACACGGCCCAAACUCCUACGGGAGGCAGCAGUAGGGAAUCUUCCACAAUGGACGCAAGUCUGAUGGAGCAACGCCGCGUGAGUGAAGAAGGUCUUCGGAUCGUAAAACUCUGUUGUCAGAGAAGAACGUGCGUGAGAGCAACUGUUCAUGCAGUGACGGUAUCUGACCAGAAAGUCACGGCUAACUACGUGCCAGCAGCCGCGGUAAUACGUAGGUGGCAAGCGUUGUCCGGAUUUAUUGGGCGUAAAGGGAACGCAGGCGGUCUUUUAAGUCUGAUGUGAAAGCCUUCGGCUUAACCGAAGUCGUGCAUUGGAAACUGGGGGACUUGAGUGCAGAAGAGGAGAGUGGAACUCCAUGUGUAGCGGUGAAAUGCGUAGAUAUAUGGAAGAACACCAGUGGCGAAAGCGGCUCUCUGGUCUGUAACUGACGCUGAGGUUCGAAAGCGUGGGUAGCAAACAGGAUUAGAUACCCUGGUAGUCCACGCCGUAAACGAUGAAUGCUAAGUGUUUGGAGGGUUUCCGCCCUUCAGUGCCGCAGCUAACGCAUUAAGCAUUCCGCCUGGGGGAGUACGAUCGCAAGAUUGAACUCAAAAGGAAUUGACGGGGGCCCGCACAAGCGGUGGAAGCAUGUUGGUUUAAUUCGAAGCAACGCGAAGAACCUUACCAGGUCUUGACAUCUUUUGCCAGGUUGAGAGAUCAGCUGUUCCCUUCGGGGACAAAAUGACAGGUGGGUGCAUGGUU